GCGUCCUCCUGAGGUCGCUGAGGCGUCCGCGGUGCCCGCGUUAAGGCGCCCCGUUCCCGCCUGGGGGCGAGAGCUGCGGGUUGUGACCCAGGGCCUCUCUAAUCCUGCAGAAGGCUCUCCAACUAAAGAAAAGGGAGGAGAUUUCAUCCUGAGAGAUAGCAAUGCUUGCUGCAGUUUAGAAGACCUGAGUUCUUGAAGGUGUUUUGCUCUCCAAGCUGGCUACAAUUUUAGCAAUAAAGGCCCUGUUCCAUA